UCGUGUUUUAAACAAUUAACAACGGUCCAUGGGAGUUGUGAGGAUCCGGUUUUACAACUCUUUGAAUGUUCUUUGUUCACUACCAAAUGGGACG